GCCGGGCGAGGUGGCGGGCGCCUGUAGUCCCAGCUACUCGGGAGGCUGAGGCAGGAGAAUGGCGUGAACCCGGGAGGCGGAGCUUGCAGUGAGCCAAGAUCACGCCACUGCACUCCAGCCUGGGCGGCAGAGCGAGACUCUGUCUCAAAAAAAAAAAAAAAAAAAGAAAUGGAGUCUCGCUCUGUCGCCCAGGCUGGAGUGCAUCGGUGCAAUCUCAACUCACAGCAAGCUCCGCCUCCCGAGUUCACGCCAUUCUCCUGCCUCAG
rnacentral:sRNA from 1 species